GACCUCUUAGGAGGGCAACCUUGCCUAAAACAAGGCAUUCUUUGCUAAUAAUUUCCUUUUUCCAUUCUCUCUUUGCCUUUAACACCCUUUUCUUUCCUAUAGCUUAAUUAACUUCCUUUCUAUUUUCUAGAUGAGAUGCUAUCUGACUCAUGAAUCACUGAAGCCACUUUGAUCUCUAAAUUUAUUCAGCUGAAUUUUUGUUACGUAACAGAUUUGCUGGCAGAGACCAGACCAAAGGAUACUUCUGACAGCACUGGGGAUACCAAGAAACAGGUGUGGGUGGCAUUUUGCAAACACUGAAUUUACAGUCUUUCUCGCCAUUUCCAAGGGCCAUGGAGAGAGAGAGAGAAAAUCUCAAGUGGACACAGGUGGGGCUUGAUCCCGUGACUUCAAGAUCACAACCAUGAUAUCAUGAUCUGAGUCUAAACCAAGUCGCCCAACUGACUGUCCCACCCAGGCACCCCUCUUCCACCCCAAUUCUAGGAGGGGUUUGAGAAUAUCUCCAGACUAGAGGAAUGGAAGCAUGUAUUCACCUGGCAUCCAGAGCGAACUCCGUCUCCUCCCGCGCACACCAUGGUUUUCUUCACGGUGGAGCCCCAGUAGGAGGAGC